UGACCGCUGGCGGCGUGCCUACCACAUGCACGUCGAACGGAGUCGUUUUGGAAAUCUCUUCGGAGAUGGAAUUCUCGACUUAGUGGCGGACGGGUGAGUAACGCGUGAGCAAUCUGCCUUUAAGAGGGGGAUAACAGUCGGAAACGGCUGCUAAUACCGCAUAAAGCAUUAAAUUCGCAUGUUUUUGAUGCCAAAGGAGCAAUCCGCUUUUAGAUGAGCUCGCGUCUGAUUAGCUAGUUGGCGGGGUAACGGCCCACCAAGGCGACGAUCAGUAGCCGGACUGAGAGGUUGAACGGCCACAUUGGGACUGAGACACGGCCCAGACUCCUACGGGAGGCAGCAGUGGGGAAUAUUGCGCAAUGGGGGAAACCCUGACGCAGCAACGCCGCGUGAUUGAAGAAGGCCUUCGGGUUGUAAAGAUCUUUAAUCAGGGACGAAACAAAUGACGGUACCUGAAGAAUAAGCUCCGGCUAACUACGUG
rnacentral:rRNA from 1 species